rnacentral:rRNA from 1 species
AGAGCGAACGCUGGCGGCAGGCUUAACACAUGCAAGUCGAGCGGGCGUAGCAAGUACGUCAGCGGCAGACGGGUGAGUAACGCGUGGGAACAUACCUUUUGGUUCGGAACAACACAGGGAAACUUGUGCUAAUACCGGAUAAGCCCUUACGGGGAAAGAUUUAUCGCCGAAAGAUUGGCCCGCGUCUGAUUAGCUAGUUGGUGAGGUAAUGGCUCACCAAGGCGACGAUCAGUAGCUGGUCUGAGAGGAUGAUCAGCCACACUGGAACUGAGACACGGUCCAGACACUUACGGGUGGCAGCAGUCGAGAAUUUUUCUCAAUGGGGGAAACCCUGAAGGAGCGACGCCGCGUGGAGGAUGAAGGUCUUCGGAUUGUAAACUCUGUCAUUUGGGAACAAGUUGCACGCGUUAACUGCGUGUGCAUUGAUAGUACCAGAAGAGGAAGAGACGGCUAACUCUGUGCCAGCAGCCGC